ensembl:lncRNA
GUUAGAACAGCCAAGGCAUGCAUUUCUCUUUAAGCAAAGUGAGUCUUGUGGGUCUAACAGUAUGUUUAAAGACUUUGGUGACUUCCAGUGUGACAUCACAUUGUCACACUAGGUUUACAUGUUUCUAAAGAGCUCAGUGAGGAAAGGUGAAAGAAAAAAGAAUGAACAGACUGGAUGAAGAGACUCCUUUGAUGGAAGCACUGGAAUAGCCUGGUACAAAAUCCUGAGGAUCUCUAUCAGAGGAACAGGAGAGUUCUUCUAGGAGCAGUAGUAAAUCUCUAAAUGUGUCAUCAAGACUCCCUGAAAUGCUCCCAUACAGUCUGUCAAAUUAAAUGUAAAUAGCUUGGAAUAAAAGACUUGCAUUGAAGACAUCUGGAGAGUGCUGUGCCGUGACUCUGAACUCAGAGGUUGCUCAUGUAAAUGCCCUUACAGACAAUGACAGCAAAUGGCUAUGUUACUGAAGAAAUAAAUGCUCAUUAGAUGCUCAGAUAAAACCGAUGGAUCUGAACAAAAUGGCACCUCAGCUUGAACCUUCAUAUGGCAUUGCUUCUCUUGGAGUCACUUAUUCAUAGGCUGAAACAGAUAUGAAAUCUAAUCACCCCAUGGCCCUUCCAGCAUCUAGGAAGCAAAAUGCAAGGAAAAAGAUGGCUCCUUCAACUCACUCCUUUUCAAAUAAGUCAUCAUUCUGCUGCCCUAGGAGCUGCCUCCAUCUUGCAGCAUGCUCUUCUGAUCCAGAAGAGGGGGUUCCCCUCUUACACCUGCGGCUACCAGAAAGAACCAUAAAGAACCAAGCUGAGGACAGCGGAGUCACCGGGAUGAGCCAGGAAAACUCCACAGAGGCUGACCUGGAGAAAUGGCUCCAGUUGGACUGAAGAUGAGAAUCUUCAAAGAUUCAGAGAAUCUGACCACUGCAGUUAAAAGAAAUCCCAGGAUGUAAGAAAGGGAGGAAUUCACUUUGGAGUCAAAGCUAAAAGAGGAGUGAGGGUAUCCAGACUCCACUUUUAGCUCUCCCAAUGGCUUUUAUUAUAUCUCUGUGAACAUCACAUCCUGCUGAGUACGAUGUUGAGCAAUAUCCAACAUGUAGUUCCCUGGUUUGUGCUUACUCCCCAUCUAUCCAUAGAAUAUCUUAACCCUUGCCUUCUACUUCAAUCAUGAACUCCCCAAGACAUGGUCUGUCUUCUUCCUUUGGCAUUUCUACAGCAUCUGACACAGACGGUUAUCAUUCCCCCAGGCGCUAUAUGAAUUCAGACUAGCCACCGUGAUAAAUAACUCUGCAGUGAAGCAAUGGAGAUUAGAAUCUUAACUUUUUUUCACCAUGCUUCAGGUCCCGGCAGCUAAACUGGGAAAGAAAUAUAGCAGCCCGGCUGCUAGUGGGCAGCAAUGUGCAGAUGUCGGCAGGGUUUGCUGACUGGGGGAAACGCUCCUGCAGCACUUACUAGAAGUGCUGGGAGUCACAGCAUUUGCAGACUACAAAGAGAUACUAGAUCAUGCUGCUGUCCUCACUGCAGUCCCUCCCAGAUGCUCCCUCUGAUCUUUAGCGGUGGCUUCCCUAUUAUUUGACUCCCAGAAUUUCCAGGGCUCAGUGUGGGGCCUGCAAACAAGGCUUUGAUUGGUAUCAUUAACAUUUCUGAGGAAGCACAGCUGAUUCCUGGCAAUAUACCCCCCAGAGCACCUCAGCGGGAAGAGAAAAAGAGAUGGGAUGGCGUUUCAUUUUACAGGCGUGCAAGAGAGGACAGAAUAAGGCUGUUUGCAACGGCCUCGCUUUAAAACACACCAUAGGAACACACUCCAGUGCAGGAAAGUGAAAAAAUUUGUCGCCUGAUGAAAAAGCGAAAUUCAAUCAGAGUUAGCCAAAGGAAUCCAUCCCACAAAGUGCUUUCCUGGGGCUGCUCAGUGCUCUCUCUGUAGUAACUGAACACCAUUGGCAGGGAUCUCCUAGCAGUCUCUCUCUUCCUCUUCCAGGAACUAUUACCCCCUUCCUGAUUUCAUUAGAAAUUACAGUAUUUAUUUUGUCCUGACUGGGGAGGAGGGAGGAGAGGAAGAAGAAAUGCUCUGAUUUUACCCACUAAGCAAAAGAUUCUUUUUUUUCUCUUUUCCUUUCCACUCCCAUAGAAGUUAACCCUCACAGUUUCCUCAUUCCCCCUCUCUUCCUCCAGUUAGUAGCUGCAGUGGCUUGGAGCCUGGGCAAGGGGCAUGCUGUAACCCUGGGCAGACACUGAGAUCUGCUCAGUCAAAACCUCAGAGCCUGCUGUUUUACUGCACAUUCUCCUUUAAGACCUUUGGGGCAGGUUAUAAUAGCACACCACUGUCACCAAGGCUCAAUUUAAAAAAAAAAAAAAAAAAAAAGAGGAUAAACUUUAUCCAGGUUCUUUCCUUUGGCUUCAGUGGAUAGCCAAUGUCUAGUAUGGCCAUUUUUCAGACACAAUCUGCUGUCAGAGUAUCGAAUGGUAACAACAUACAAUCUUGUUGCACAAGGAAAAGUGGUGCAGAGAAGGAGGCAAGAGGAAAAGUAAAGCCUGAACAGAUGGGCAGUACCAGCUUUAAGCUUAUGUCAAGAAAAGAUUUUUCUUCUCUUUCAUAAAUUCUCUGUAAACUGAUUUCUUGUGCCAUUUUCAUAUUUGUGAAGGUGAGAGUACAGAAAACCAAGAAUAACUCUGGGUGAUCACAUCUGGUUUUGAAGGUCAUUAAAGCUUUCAGACAGGCAAUUAACGCUGCAAUUACUCUAAUGUUUGCAUGAUGUUCAGCAAAAGUAGACAGCAUAUGUCCCAUUUUGUUGGUUUUUUUUUUUCCUUUCAGAUGUCUGCAAAACAUUCAUGGAAAAAUAUAUAUUACAAUUUUC